rnacentral:rRNA from 1 species
AUUGAACGCUGGCGGCAGGCCUAACACAUGCGAGUCGAGCGGAUGAAGGGAGCUUGCUCCUGGAUUCAGCGGCGGACGGGUGAGUAAUGCCUAGGAAUCUGCCUGGUAGUGGGGGAUAACGUCCGGAAACGGGCGCUAAUACCGCAUACGUCCUGAGGGAGAAAGUGGGGGAUCUUCGGACCUCACGCUAUCAGAUGAGCCUAGGUCGGAUUAGCUAGUUGGUGGGGUAAAGGCCUACCAAGGCGACGAUCCGUAACUGGUCUGAGAGGAUGAUCAGUCACACUGGAACUGAGACACGGUCCAGACUCCUAAGGGAGGCAGCAGUGGGGAAUAUUGGACAAUGGGCGAAAGCCUGAUCCAGCCAUGCCGCGUGUGUGAAGAAGGUCUUCGGAUUGUAAAGCACUUUAAGUUGGGAGGAAGGGCAGUAAGUUAAUACCUUGCUGUUUUGACGUUACCAACAGAAUAAGCACCGGCUAACUUCGUG